UCGCUCAUACUUUUUGAAAGCAAAAGCUCCAAAGUUCGCACCCAUUCGGGAUGCUCUGUACCUACCGUUUAAAAGUCGUAACAAGGUAGCUGCCAACUAGCAAUUGGGUUGCGAUUCCUUUAAUCGGUUCGUUGGGGCAACUCAGCGCCGAUCAUUAUGAUCCACCCAGCGGCUCUCGUAGGGAAACCAAAGUGUUUGGGUUCCGGGGGAAGUAUGAUUGCAAAGUUGAAACUUAAAGGAAUUGACGGAAGGGCACCACCAGGAGUGGAGCCUGCGGCUUAAUUUGACUCAACACGGGGAAACUUACUAGAUUAAAACUCUGGAAUGAUUGACAGAUUGAUAGCUCUUUCUUGAUUCAGAGGAUGGUGGUGCAUGGCCGUUCUUGAUUCGUAUUCCGAAACGUCUGCUUAAUUGCGAUAACGAGUGAGACCUCACCCAACUAACUAGUCGUUUAGUGCGCUAGGGACGCAAAAGUUCCGGUUGAAUCGGUAAGGAGAAGUGUGGUAACAUAACUGGCCUUACUCUCAGCUUGGGAUGUCCUCUGCUCGCUUGCGGACUUCUUAGAGGGAUAAACGGUGUUUUAGCCGUAAGAAACGAGGCAAUAACAGGUCUGUGAUGCCCUUAGAUAUUCUAGGCCGCACGCGUGCUACAAUGGCGUGUGCAGAGAGCUUGUUCGAGGUUCGUCUUGAGAGAACUAGUUGUUUGGUUGUAGAUAUGGGGUAACCUGUGUUUAUAAUCGGCAAAAAAGUGACUCAGGUAGCGAGCCGAGAGAAACCGCAGCCGAAAGGUUGUGGCAAUCAGAAAUACACGCCGUGAUUUGGGAUUGGGGAUUGCAAUUGUUGCCCAUGAACGAGGAAUUCCCAGUAAGCGCAAUUCAUCAUAUUGCGUUGAUUACGUCCCUGCCCUUUGUACUCUGCGUGAGAGGUGAAAUCUAAAAGCAAAAGCAUUUGUAAUGUAUUCGCUUCGCUCAUACUUUUGAAAAGCAAAAGCUCCAAA
rnacentral:rRNA from 1 species